GGAGCUAUAGCUCAGUGGUAGAGCAUAUGCUUCGCAUGCACCAGGCCGUGGGUUCAAUCCCCAGUAGCUCCA